CAGUCGCCGCGGUAAAACGUAGGGUGCAAGCGUUAAUCGGAAUUACUGGGCGUAAAGCGUGCGCAGGCGGUUAUAUAAGACAGAUGUGAAAUCCCCGGGCUCAACCUGGGAACUGCAUUUGUGACUGUAUAGCUAGAGUACGGCAGAGGGGGAUGGAAUUCCGCGUGUAGCAGUGAAAUGCGUAGAUAUGCGGAGGAACACCGAUGGCGAAGGCAAUCCCCUGGGCCUGUACUGACGCUUAUGCACGAAAGCGUGGGGAGCAAACAGGAUUAGAUACCCCCGUAGUCCCUGUCUCUUAUAC
rnacentral:rRNA from 1 species